GCCGGGCGCAGGGACUUGUGCCUGUAAUCCCAGCUGCUCGGGAGGCUGAGGCAGGAGGAUCACAAGUUGAAAGCCAGCCUCAGCAACUUAGUGAGGUUCUGAGCAACUUAGCAAGACCCUGUCUCAA
rnacentral:sRNA from 1 species